AUCGAGCACUAGCACGGACUUGUGAAUUUUCAGUGCUUUGAUGGUGAGAAAGUCGAAUAUUUUGACCAUAACGUGGGAAACACGUUGAAACCUUUUUCAUUUGGACCAGAAUUCAAAAUUUUGAAUUAGACUUUAGGCCCAAAUUAUAAAGGGAAUGUACAUGUAUGGACUUUAGGAUUCAAUUCUCUAUAGAAUUUCUUACAAUGCCGUGUCCGGCAAUCAUCAAACACAGGAUAAAGCUUUCCUUCCAUCAUAACAACAACAUUGGCUGCGAUCCAGAUCGAUCUUCGCAGAGUCCGUUCACCCAGUUGCUGAAAAUAAAAUUCUGCUAUGAUUUUGUACUGAAAAUACAAUUACUUCCGAUUUGCUUGUGAGAAAGCUGCAAGUUUUGAUUCCUCCCUCAAUGCUCCUUUCCUUCUCUACACAUUUUAUGUUGUGCUCAAAAUAUACAUCUUAUAACUCUCCAUAGGAAUUUCAUAAGGUUCUUUUCUUUUAAAUAUUUAAUACUCUUGUGUGCUUGGAUUAGGCAGGAGGUCUCCAGUCAUUGGGAUGCUUGCUCUGUGGCAGGAUUUUUCUUUUAAGUGGCUUGAGCUUGAAAUCCUGAGUGCCUAUCGGCUGUAACAUGAACAAUGGACCUCGGCUCAAUGUGGGAUAUGGAUAGGUUUUGUGAAGGAUGUGCAUAUGCAGCGUUCAGCAAUUACCAAAAGAGGGAUGGAAUUUGGCAUUGUUGCAAUUGAAAAGAGGCCAAAGUACUGGCUUGAUGAAUAGUUGAUAGGAAUUGAAGAAUUGGCAAGUCCAAAGCCGGGACUAGUGCUGUUUUCAGGUCGAAUAGAGAAGAUAAAAGAUGCAGAAAAGAAUUUUGCUGCAGCAUCUGUGGUUUUAUUUGCGUCGAAGCUGGGACUACCUAUUUCAGCAACACACACUUUGGUGGGUACAGUCAUGGGGGUAGGGUUUGCAAGGCGACUAAACAGUGUUGGAGCAGAGACUGCGAGAGGCAUUGUAGCUUCAUGGCUUGUGACAAUUCCAGCUGGUGCUAUGUUUGCAGUUAUCUAUACAUGGAUCUUGACCAAGCUUUUGUCUUCCAUAUUAUGAGUGUACAUUUACAUGAUUAAAAUGAAACCGUUUGAUUCAGAAUCACUCAUUUUUUUUCAAAAGAAUUCUUGUAAUGUUUGCAACUUUUUGAGCUAAUGUGAUUUUCAUCGAGUGGAAUUCAUAAUAUGGAAGUGAGAUUUCAAAUA